ensembl:lncRNA
CCUUUGGUCGGCUUCUGGUUGUCUGUUGCUUGGUUGGCAGGCUAUGGGGAUGGCCUGCUGUAAAAACAACCAGUUUUUUAUUUUAUUUUAUUUUAUGAAGGCUGAGCGCAAUUCUUCCCAGAAAAAUCAAUAAAAAUGGAAAAACCUGAAACUGAAACUAAUGUCUGUGUUUUAUUUCAUUUGAGUUAUGGAACACUUUUUAAAGAAUAGCAAGGCAAAGGAGAUAUAUUUUUAAAAAGUCACUGACUUCAAUUUUAUUUCCCAAAAUCUUCUUUUGUAUUCCACAGAAGAAAUAUAUUCAUAAAGGUUUGGAAUAGCAUGGUAACUUUCAAUUUUGGAUGAACUGCUAUCUUCCAAAUUCAUGAACAUUCUUGACGUUCUAACCUCCUUGCUCAGUAAGGACUGAUAAACAGAGACCAGUAGCAGAAUCAAAUAUAACUUGCUUAUUCUGUGUCCAAAGUACACAAAACCUGGUGCAGUCAGAAACCCUGCUAAAGAAAAGGCUAAAAUAACAAAGCAAUACAACACAAAACAAUAAGGUCUCAUUUGUUAACAUUAGUUAUUACAUUACCUAAUAGUGAGCUAACAAUAAGCAAUACACUUUUACAGCAUUUAUUAAUAUCUGUUAUGAAUUCAUGUUAGUUUUUAGUGCUUUUACUCAUGUUAGCAGAUACAAUUUUAAAUUACUAAAUGUUAAAAUUAAGAUUAAAUGGUGUAGAAGUAGUCUUUAUUAUUAGUUCAUGCUAACAAUGUACUAAUGAUAACAAAUAUAACUCUAUGUUAAAGUGUUAAACUGAUUAUUAAUACUGAUAGUAUUUGAACUUGAAACAUGUGUUGUCUCAACAAAGGUAAAAGUGAGUUAGAUUCAUUUUAAAAUGCUCAAUAUAAAAUGCUGUGUUAUUCACUAAGAAACAACAAUGAAGGCUUCCUGUAGAGGGAGGGCUGACAGAGAAUCAGAAACUUACUGAGGAAAUGAAACUUAUGAAAACAACAGAUGUUCACAGGUCAGAUGAGGGCGGGAACAGUGUUCCAGUAUAAAUUACACACAGACCCACUGAUCUGUCCUUUCCAGAGCCUUCUGCUGCCAGAUCAACAAGAUUUUAUGGCGUUUCCUCUGUGGGAGAUGCUGUGGAAACUUGACUGGUCUUGUAGCACUAAUGUCAUCAUGAAGGAGGCGGAGUUUAUGUAAAUCCUUGCUGCCAGGGGUGAGGUCAUCUGGCCCAGUGCCAUUCAGAGGGGAAACCCAUUUGUUGGUGCUGGUGUCCAGAUGCGCAGAGGCCAGCACAGUCUGUGAAGCCUAACACUGCGUGACGCCUGACAACGUACGAGUAAAGUCUCAAGUCUAUGAAAAAUGGCAAAAAGCCAAGAAUCGACCACAAAAAAAGCAAUGCAUGUGAUGCUAACAGUGAACCAAGAAAUCGCUUUAACACACUGAUGAAACCU